AAUCAUUAAUAUUUUAGUAAAUUGUGAGAAAAAGUUCGAGUUAUUUGAUAAAAUAUGUUAUCCUUAUAUCCUAAUUUUGAAUACCAGUCAAUUUUUUUGGGAGUAGAUAGUAUUUACUAUAUAUCAUUUCAAGAGAGGUGCAAAUGUAUUUGAGAUGUUAUCGCAGAUAACGAGCCCGUUUGUACACAUUGCAUAUUUUUUCAUUGUCUUAUUUGAUUAUUUCAUGUCUGGCUCUAAACCUUUGAAUGAAAUUUUCAACCGGAGUCCAGCUUUUUGACCUCUUGGUUAUUUAGUUUCCUUACGUACAUUUUGUUUUUUUGAAAAAGUAAAGGAAAUAUAAAAUCCAAAUUGAAAAAAAUCAAUGAAUAAAAAAGUUUUGAACGAUUAAAAAUUUGUUUUGUUUUCGCAUUUAAUGAACCUCUUUUCCUUGUUUAAAAGUAUUCAGAAAAAUUUAGUUUUCUAUUAUAUUUUCACUUGACCACAAAAAAUAAAGAUUUUCUUAGCGCGAUUUAUAAACAAAUCUUCUAGAAUUACAAACAAAAACGACACUAAUUUUUUGAAGACAAUCAUGGCAAACGGAGCCUAAAAAGUACUACUAGAAACAAACAAGAGCGUAUAAAAUGUAGAUAUUCCAUCAACCAAUCAAAAUGGAAGGCUCAUGGGAAGAGUAAUGAGCUCCACCCACCAUAACUUUACUCUUUUCAAUUUCUUUAAGUAAUUAAUUGUCUCACUAAUUAGGCGGUGAACUGGUAAUCAAGGGGCAAAACUUAUCCAAUAAAAAAUAAAAAAUUACGCGGUGGACUGCACAGGAUGAAGUCUGGCCAUUUCCAUACUAUUUCGGGUCCAAUUUAAUGAUCGGACUCGUCCACAUUGUAGAACUCAUAUACUAUAACAACUUCUUAAAAUAUCAUAUUGAUCGGAUAGUGAUCAAUAGUUUUCCGUAAAACAUUUAUUUUGUAGAAAAACGAAUUCUUGAAGUUGUAAUCUACCGUGUGCAACUCAUUUUGGUACAUCAAUUAAGCAUUGCUCGGUAUUCGAUUGACAUGAGUUCAUACGUGGUUCUUCUACUCAAAUAGCUUUUCAAUAUGAACGAGUUCGAUCAUUGAAUUAAAGCCGAAAUGGGGUCAGAACUGGUUGGGGGUGCAGUCCACUGCCUUAACUUGAGACAAAGCAGUCUCCGUUUUUUCCGGCUGUGAAUCUCUAUUUACGGAUAAAGCCUCACGCAGAAAGUCAGAAACCCUAGUACACUCUAUCUUUCUCUCUCUCCUAAAUUCUUUGUCCGCCGCCUUGAUGUUAUCCGUUUCAAAGAUGGAGAUUAAAUUCUCCUCGGAAUCGCCAGGAAAAGACGAUUGCAGGUGGAUGUUGGGUGCGGUGAGAUGUAAGCCUCUGGUUAUUGGAAUCUAGUACCGUUCGAUCGUGAUUUCUCCGUAUAAAAAUAUGCGCGUCGAAGAUAGUUUAAUUCGGUAACUGCUACUGCCACCUGAAUCGAGUUGAUUAUGGGUUUGACAAUUGUUUUUGCCGCUUGAAUCGAGUGGAUUACGAGUUUGGCAACUGCUACUGUCGCCUGAACUGGGCCGAUUUGUGUUUGGUAGUUGACAGAAUAGGUAGACAUUGAGUCAAUCAUUUAGUAGGAGUCCCUAUCUGCUAUGAAAAGCAGUUUACCACAGGCCUGAUGUGCCCCAAAGCAGUUCGGUUAUAAAUCAGUGGUGGUGGCUGACAAGAUGAUUGCGGUAGGAGUGAGCCGAAAAAGUUAAAGGAAAGAAUGGGGAGGACGAAUAGCGAGGCUGUUGUUGAUGGAUGCAUAACGAAAUAGUGGAUGGCCUAUGCAAAAGACCGAAGUAUGAAGUAUGUUAUUGAGGCAUUGAGGCAUUGUCUGUGUGUUGGAACUUGGAACACUCAAUGAAAAAUAUGAUGCCUCAAAUUUAUGUGUAUAUGUUAGUAGUUUGAACAAUUUUCUUGUGCCAAUAGCAAGCUUCAUAGAACUGGAUCUUUAAUAUAGUGAAAGAGUGUGCUGUUUGUUGGUUA